rnacentral:tRNA from 1 species
GUCUGUGUAAUUUAUUUAAAAUAGCGGUCUUGUAAACCGCCAAUAGGCCCCCUCCCUCAUAGACA